rnacentral:tRNA from 1 species
GGAGGUAUAGCUCAGUGAUGGAGCACUUGCCUAGUAUGCAUGCGGCCCUGGGUUUGAUCCCCAGCACUACAA